AGUCAGGAAUCAAGUUUAUUGAACUUGAAAUUAGGUCAAUUGUUGACUUUCCAAAAAUAAUGUGGUGGAAAUACUCUUACAUCCCAGUGCCUAAAAAAGCUGGUAUACCGUAUCUUGGAUUUAUAAUUAGUUCUAUUGUUCUCGGAGUCACUGGUGGGCUAUUAGUUGAUGUGAUAGGUAAUUGGGAUACCUAUUUUCAUCUGGAUAAAAUUGAAUUUCAAUCCGGUCUGGUAGAGGAGGAAAGAAGUAGGCAAUAAGAAGAUCAUUGCAAGGAAAACAUCAACUAUGGAUGAAUGGAUGGAGAAUGAAGUGUGAAAUUAAGUUUUAGACUUAUCUUCAUUGAACUUUGACUUAUAGUGGGCAUUGUUUUAUACAUUGGUUUGAAGUUUUAAAAUGUAAAUAUCUGUAAAUAUUUGACUGGAACAGUGUGAUAAUUUGUUAAUUGACAGGAGCAAGGAGAAAUUAUAUGCACAUAAUGUUCUAAUAAAUAGAAUUAAUAUUU